rnacentral:tRNA from 1 species
GUUUAAGUAGCUUAAGUUUUAAAGCAUGACUUUGAAGAGGUUAUUAUGAUAUUUUCCUUAAACA